GGGGUCGUAGUAUAACCUGGCGAGCUUUUUAUUAUGUUUAGGAAGCUUGGGGAAUUAGUACAGCAGUCUCCAAAACUGCCUAUGGGGGUUCGAAUCCCUCCGACCCCA
rnacentral:tRNA from 1 species